rnacentral:rRNA from 1 species
CCUACGGGUGGUUGCAGUGGGGAAUAUUGGACAAUGGGCGAAAGCCUGAUCCAGCCAUGCCGCGUGUGUGAAGAAGGCCUUCGGGUUGUAAAGCACUUUCAGUGGGGAAGAAAGCCUUGGGGCUAAUACCCUCGAGGAAGGACAUCACCCACAGAAGAAGCACCGGCUAACUCCGUGCCAGCAGCCGCGGUAAUACGGAGGGUGCGAGCGUUAAUCGGAAUUACUGGGCGUAAAGCGCGCGUAGGCGGUCUGAUAAGCCGGUUGUGAAAGCCCCGGGCUCAACCUGGGAACGGCAUCCGGAACUGUCAGGCUAGAGUGCAGGAGAGGAAGGUAGAAUUCCCGGUGUAGCGGUGAAAUGCGUAGAGAUCGGGAGGAAUACCAGUGGCGAAGGCGGCCUUCUGGACUGACACUGACGCUGAGGUGCGAAAGCGUGGGUAGCAAACAGGAUUAGAUACCCGUGUAGUC